rnacentral:rRNA from 1 species
AUUGAACGCUGGCGGCAUGCCUUACACAUGCAAGUCGAACGGCAGCACGGGAGCAAUCCUGGUGGCGAGUGGCGAACGGGUGAGUAAUAUAUCGGAACGUGCCCAGUAGUGGGGGAUAACUGCUCGAAAGAGCAGCUAAUACCGCAUACGACCUGAGGGUGAAAGCGGGGGAUCGCAAGACCUCGCGCUAUUGGAGCGGCCGAUAUCAGAUUAGCUAGUUGGUGAGGUAAAGGCUCACCAAGGCGACGAUCUGUAGCUGGUCUGAGAGGAAGACCAGCCACACUGGGACUGAGACACGGCCCAGACUCCUGCGGGAGGCAGCAGUGGGGAAUUUUGGACAAUGGGCGCAAGCCUGAGCCAGCCAUGCCGCGUGCGGGAAGAAGGCCUUCGGGUUGUAAACCGCUUUUGUCAGGGAAGAAACGGCUCCUACUAAUACUGGGGGCUAAUGACGGUACCUGAAGAAUAAGCACCGGCUAACUACGUGCCAGCAGCCGCGGUAA